CAAUUCCCAGGUUGGAAAAACUUAAGCUAAUGCUAGCUCAAGAGACUCUGCAACUCAUGAGAGCGAAAGAAUUGUAUUUAAAUCGCAAAAGAGCUGAAAUUCAGGGAAAGAUGGAAGAUCUUCCAGAACAAGAAAAAAAUAUAAAUGUUGUAGAUGAAUUAGAAAUGCAAUUUUAUGAAAUUCAGUUAGAACUAUAUGAAGUUAAAUUUGAGAUAUUAAAAAACGAAGAAAUACUGCUUACUACACAGUUGGACUCUCUUAAAAGACUUAUAAAAGGUAAAGUUUAUAUUUAAGUAUAUAGAUAACAAUGUUUAUAAAUUUAAGGAAAUACAGACCAUAUUAUCAAUUACUUUUUGUAAACUGUAACAUCUGAAAAUUUCCUAAAGUUUUCCUUCAGUAGUUUAUUAUUCAAAUAAUAUAUUCAUUGUUAGCACAUAGC
ensembl:lncRNA novel transcript